UGUAGAUCCUUCACUGCAGCCUGAGUAAAAGAAAGUUGUGCAGAAAGUGAAGAUUGGGACUCCGCAUGCAUUAUCAGUGCAUAUGAGAAUGUGGCUUGAAGAAGGGUCAUUGGACCGAUCACUUCAGACACGUCAUCAUCAGGUCUACAGUACAGUCAGCAUGAAGACUCUCAGCCUGACGACACAGAGUGAGACAGGGGGAGGAUAUCAAACUCAUAUAAGUUCAUGGUCAUGAAGACCAAUGCUGAUCUCAGAUCCCGUGGACCCGUCCCUGUUUUCCCGGUGAAGAUCCUUAGUUGUGGAUGACUGGAGAGUGGCUGGUAGAGAGCAGUGAGUGGGCGAAGAAGCGCAAGUGUUUUCCCUUGUCCUCCCCACCUUGGAUUCCCUGGAGCCCGGACCCCUGUCACACUUGUAUAUAGCAAAAUUCCCUGCACUGUCUGUAAAUACACCUGUGAAUGUGAAAUAAACCUCACUGUGUCUUCUGUGUGUGAAUCCUCAGUGAACCAUUACAUAAGUAUACACAUGUUUCAUAUAAACAUAGUCUAACAUUCUUAUUGGCAGUAGCUCAAAUAAUUGAGCAUUUCAAUUACAUGAAAAAUUCA
ensembl:lncRNA